AAGUGUUCUUAAACAGCAAGCUCCGGUUUUUUCUGUCUCGACUUUCUGAAACGCCCGCGCUGUUCUUAGAGCGGCUAACUUUGGGAAGACUCGCCGAAGAAGGGGGAAGGCUGAGCCACAGCUCCCCCCCCUCCACCCCCCAUCUCGGCGGCUUUGGCGGCAGCAAAACUGCUCCGCUUUCUAUAAUAGCCAGCAGAGGAAGCGGGGUUUUCCUUGCAGCAAGGGCUGGAGCGCGCCUGCUUCUUUGAGUAGGAAAUACUGCAGGCUUCUGGACUGCGUCUCCUUCUCGAGGGAGAAGCUAGCUGUUGUAGUUCCACCCACCGACUGGAAGGAGGGGGUUUGAAUAAAAGAGAAGAAAAGCCCCAAUACCUCGGGUCCCUCCGUGAGGGCGACCGCAGCAACUAGGCUGGGGCGAGCGAGGACGCGCUCCCUUCCGUCAUGCCUCCCUCCUUUUCUUUUCUUUUCUUUUCUUUCUUUCUUUCUUUCUUUUUUUUUUUUAGAGCUUUUCCUUCCCACCCCCUCCUUUUCUCUUUUUAGUAAGCGGGUGAGGGAUCGUGAGAAACCGCGAGGAAGCCGAUCUGAGGAGAUCCGGACUUCCCUCGUCUUGCUGUUUUCUCCGAAAGGACUGACACCCCCUCCCGGUUCACACACCCCUCUCCAGACCCUGGCAAUUGACAUUACUUAAGAGCAGGAGGAAGGCGGGGGGUCCCGCUCUAACGGGGCGGGCGGAGAAAAGCAAAGCAAAGCAAAGCAAAGCAAGACCUGUUUCCCCCUUUUCGAUGUUUUGAUUUUUUAAAAAAAAUCUUAUUUUUAAUUUUUGCGGCGGUUGACGCGACUGGACCUAGUGAAGGCAAAGAAGUCCGAGGGAGGAAAAAAGAAAGAAGCCACCUUGAUUAGGACUGUCAGGAAUAGUGGUUUUAACCGAAGAAAGGCCUGGGGCACGACUCCCUGUCAACGAGUUCCCUGCAUCCGAGAUAAAGAUUCUAGCUACAUGGGCAAACGCUUGGAACCGCAGCCAAUGUUCCCACAGUACACAUACUACUAUCCCCAUUAUCUCCAAACCAAGCAUUCCUAUGCACCAGCUCCCCAUCCCAUGGCUCCUCUCAGCCCCAGCACUAACAGUAGCAACAACAAUAGCAACAACAGCAGUGGUGAACAGUUGAGUAAAACCAACCUGUACAUCCGAGGCCUUCCUCCCGGCACCACUGAUCAGGACCUAAUCAAACUGUGCCAGCCGUAUGGAAAAAUUGUAUCUACAAAAGCAAUCCUAGACAAAAACACAAAUCAGUGCAAAGGUUACGGUUUUGUAGAUUUUGAUAGUCCAGCAGCUGCACAGAAAGCCGUAGCAUCUCUUAAAGCAAAUGGUGUGCAAGCUCAGAUGGCUAAGCAACAAGAACAAGACCCCACAAAUCUUUACAUCUCAAACUUGCCCAUCUCCAUGGAUGAGCAAGAGUUGGAGAAUAUGCUUAAACCUUUUGGACAUGUCAUUUCCACCAGAAUAUUAAGAGAUGCAAAUGGCAUCAGUAGAGGAGUUGGAUUUGCCAGAAUGGAAUCUACUGAAAAAUGUGAAGUUGUAAUUCAACAUUUUAAUGGAAAAUACCUGAAAACACUGCCAGGUGUGCCAGCCCCAACAGAACCUUUGCUGUGCAAAUUUGCUGAUGGAGGACAAAAGAAACGACAGAAUCAAAGCAAAUAUACUCAGAAUGGGAGACCCUGGCCAAGAGAAGGAGAGGCUGGCAUGGCCUUGACAUAUGACCCUACAGCUACUAUACAGAAUGGAUUUUAUUCCUCACCGUACAGUAUUGCUACAAACCGCAUGAUUCCACAGACAUCUAUCACGCCAUUCAUUGCUGCUUCCCCUGUCUCCACAUAUCAGGUUCAGAGUACUUCAUGGAUGCCCCAUCCAUCAUAUGUUAUGCAACCAACAGGUACUGUGUUAACAUCAGCAAUGGAUCAUACAAUGUCCAUGCAGCCAGCAAGUAUGAUGGGCCCCUUGACACAACAGAUGAAUCAUCUUUCCUUGGGCACAACAGGAACAUAUAUGACGGCUGCUGCACCUAUGCAAGGGACCUAUAUUCCCCAGUACACUCCUGUGCCUCCAACAGCUGUCCCUCUUGAAGGUGUAGUUGCUGAUACCUCUCCACAGACAGUAGCACCUUCAUCACAGGAAUCCAGUGGUCAACAGCAACAGAUGGCUGUCGAAACAUCCAGUGAACAUGCAUCUGCAUAUUCAUACCAACAGUCAAAAAACCAGCUUCCAAAGUAUCCACCUCUUUAUAUCUAUGUGAACCACUGAUCUAAGAAUGGUCUCUCCUUGGAAAAAUAUAAAACCAAAACAGUCCUCAUGCAAAAACAGGAAGUUUCCUUGGAGGAAGGGAAGUCUGUUACCUCACUGAUAUGAAUAAGACAAUGAACAGACCUGAAAAAUGUCAGUCAGCAAAGUUUGCCUUGAAUGAAAAAACUUCAUUGAACAAGAAGUUGGCUUCCCGUUUGCACAGGCGGCAACAUUUUUUUUUUCAUUUUCUAUUUUACCCAGCAAGAGUGUUUCUAUGUGCUGUGCAAAUUGUUUGAUCAUAUAGUCUGAUAGUUUUAUUUUUGCUAAUUUUUUUAGUUAAAGGGGAAAACAUGGCAAAAUAGUGGGUUAAUAUUUUAUCUGAAUGAACAUUUGAAAUUCAGAAUUUACUACUUGGAACUGUACAUUUAUACUUUUUGUUUGUUUUGUUUUGUUCAUUUGGUUUUGUUUUGUUUUGUUUUGUUUUGUUUUGUUUGGUUUGGUUUGGUUUGGUUUGGUUUGGUUUGGUUUGGUUUGGUUUGGUUUGGUUUGGUUUGGUUUGGUUUGGUUUGGUUUCCCAAAAAAGAACGAUGAUAAUAAGAGAGAGAAAGCUGAGAUGGAAACCAGUGGUCUUCCUCAAGAAUUCAGCUAAUUCUUUCCCCUUCUUGAAAUCAACGGUGUCUUUCCUUUUGAGUUUGUGUGCAUAUGUGUUUGGUUUUUUUAAAAGAAAUGUUUAGGUAAGAUUUAUAUUGAAUCUUAAUUGCCUUAAUUUUAAGGAAGUCGAAGGCUUUCAAGGCACGCUGUUAACGUUUUGGUAGAAGAAAAGUAAAUGGAUUCCAAUGUAUCUACACCUGGAUCAACUGGUGCUGAAGUUCAACAGACUGAAUUUUUAGGGUUAACAAACAACAACAAAAUAAAAACUGUACUAAAAAGAAAAUAUUAAACAAAAACUGUUGAUAAAGGAACUAUGACAACUUCAAGAUUUGAAAAAAAAUGAAGACUUUUAUGAACUUUCUUAGUGUUGACCAAGAAGAAUCUAAAAGGCUAAAGUGUUUUAUAAUAAAAUUAUUUGAGAGGGAGGUCAACUUGCAUUUUAAAGAAUUGGUAGGGAGGGUUCAGGGUUUUUUUUUUUUAAUUUACAAAAUGUGUUUGUUGGCCAGAGCAUUAGAGCUUUUUAUCUGCAGUCUUUUUUUUAUGAGCUUUAAAAAGUUUUUAGCCUGCUUUGCUUGUCACGUUGCAAACACCUAGCUUAAAAGCAUUGGGGGAAAAUCUUAGAUAGGAGCUUAUGGUCAAAAAAGUGCAAAAAAGCAAUAGCUAGAAGAAAUUGGUGACAAUUUCUGUGGUCUUUCCUAGUUGUGAUCAAAUGCAGCCUAUGGAUGGCCUGUUUUAUACCAAAGAUGAAAUAACACCCUACCACAGUUAAGAAGAUAAAAGGGUUUUGUUUUAUUUUAUUUUUUUCUUAUUUCUUUCUAAAAAAAUCUUUGUUUGACUAAUAUGGCCGGUCCAGUUGUUAUCUUUGUGUAUUGUUUAAACUUUCUUCCACUGGUAUUUUACAUUCUAUGAACUUGGGAUUCUAAUCAAAAAUCCUGAUUAGUUGGUACUUAAGAACACUUAGCAGAAUACGAGGAAGAUUUCAGUUGCCAGUUUUACCUUUUCUGUGUUUUUUUUCUUUUUUACUGCAACAGGAGUCUUCCUUCCUUAUAUCAUCCCGUGGGCUUUUUCUUUUUUCUUUUGCCUCCUCUUUCCCUGUAUUGGUUUUCAGUGCUGUGAACCAUCCAUGAUCAUCGUCUGGAUGAUAUUUGAAUCACUUGGAAGAGGCCACUGAAAAUGGUUAAUUUGUUUAAAUUGUCCCAACUAAGAUAAAAGUUUAAAAUGGUUUGUGUUAAUUUUCAUGCAAACAUGAAAUUAACAAUCACUUUUUAUUAAAUGGAUUUCUGUUGUCUUCAUAUGUUUACUGACAAUCAGUGAUUAGUUUAAUUAGGUAAAAGACAAGAAUGACUAGGUUGAAUCAGUGCAAACUUAUUUUUUAAAAGAUAAAAGAAUAUAUGCAAUCUAGUAAUAUAUGAAGGAUCCAGGAAAAUUCCAUCUCCCAUUCAUAGUGGUUGAAGAACUUUUUUCCCCAACAGUCUAUGGAGAAAACAUUUUAUAAUUGUCCUCAAAUUAGAACUGGUAUUUAUGAAUGGGAUAAAGAAGUACAAUGUAUCUUUUUGAGAAGAUGAAGCAUUUAAAAUGAUCCUUCUUUAGGAAAAAAAAUAGACUUCAGUGCAGUGACUGUGAUGUAUUAAAAAACAGGGUAAUCAUAUUGAAAAAUGAAAGCAAAAUGUUGUAAAAAUAAUGAAACAUUUUUUGGGGGGGAAGGAAGGGGAAUCAAAGAGAUUCAACUUACCCAGUUUUAAUAUCAAGGACAUAAACAACUAAAUAUGACUCCUACAUGAGCCUAGUGAAAUAACACAAGGUUUUAGCAGGAGCAUUAUUGUGCACGGAAUCCAUGGUUACCUUUAAACGAUGUUUUUUAAAGAAAUUGAGUAUUUUUUUAAAAAUUCUAAAAACAGUUCCUUAUUUUUAAUGUAAUAUUUUGUGUUUGAUGGGGUUGGGUGUUGGAUAACCCUCCCAAAAUGGCUGCUCAAUGCGAACAUUAAAAAGAAAAAGAAAAAGAAAAAGGGAAACAGGUUGUCUCCUGGCUGGCAUAAUGAAAAGAACCUGGUUAUUUCAAGUUCAUGUAGUUUUUAGUAACCACAUAGGGCCACACAGAGAAAAUAAUAGUAAUAUAUUAGUAAGGACCUCUAGCUUCCUUUUUUCACAGCUUUUUUCACAGCUUUGCCAAUGCUGUUACUUUCUAUAAACAUCCCUUGAUUUUUUCCCCCUUGUUUUCAUUUGGAAUAGGUGUGCCUAUUGAAAGGGGUAUGAGAAAAACGAUCAAGCCAGCCUGGUUUUCUUCCUUUUUAUUCUCUCUCUCUCUCCCUCCCUCCCUCCCUCCCUCUCCUUCCCUGUUCCCUCCCUCCCUCUCUCUGUGUGUGUAAAUAUAGAACUUAUUCUCCUGUGGCACAAUUCUGUUUUAAUAUGAAAGAAGCAUGUGUUGUGGGUUUGCUUGUUUGUUUUUUAAUUGUCUUGUGAAUUCUAUUUUGGUGCAAAGAAUAGUCUCAUUACUGUUGACAAUGAGGCUGUAAGGUAGCUACCGUGUGGCAGAUGAAUAUGGCUGAGAUAUCUUUUUGUUUUGGAUCAGCCCUCUGCUGUUUUCUUUACACUUUGGGUCAUUUUCUUUGGGUCUAUUUCCCCAAUCAGGUUCAAAACUCAGUGUAGGAUUUUUCAUUAAGUCAGGCAUCUUCCUCUUCCUCCUUACUGGUAAUCAUUAGUUCAUCAUUAUCACCUGAAGUGUCUGAGAAUUUUAUAUGUUUUAAUCCUGUGGCAUCCUAGCAAUUCUACCAUUUUGCAAAUAAAUGAAAAGGGUAAAGUCUCUUGAAUCAAGUGUGACUCUUAGUGACACAUCUUUAUGUUUUCUUUAAUGAGGGACAUAAUAUGCCUUCUUCUGAAUUAUUAUUACUUUUGUUUUACUUCCCAGUCUUGUCUAUAUCAUUGUAUUUCUUGGUGGAUUCUAUCCAAGUACUAAAUCAGGAUUGUUCCUUCUUACCUUUCUAAAAUGAGUCAAAGUCAGCUAAGUACUUUAUCUACCUGGCCAUUACAAAUGGAGGAGGAAAAGUGACAUAUUCUUCCAAUAAGUUGCUGUUUAAUAGAUUCCCCUUUGAUGCAUCACCAAGUUAAUAACUGAUAGUCUAGAGACUAUGUUUGAGCCAAACUGCUGUAAUCUAAAUUUGAAGAGGCCUAAAGAAAAUCAAAAGCUAAUCCUUGAUUUCAAAUUUAAUUUUAUCAAUCCUUUUGGCCAUUUAUACCCAACAGACUUUAUUACAGCGUUAAAGAAGCUAUAUAACUUGGGUUCAAUGUUUACAAGAUGUAUGACACUGAUGUAUCAAUCUGAUUAUAUUAACUAUAUGAUGUCAAUGACAUCGAUGGAGAAAUUAUUUUUCAUCUCCUAGGAAAAGUCGGUAUAUACUCCAAAUCUGACCCCAACAUGGAAUAAAAUAUAAGGAGAGUUUCUUAUGAUAGGAGAUAAUCAUUCUAACUUUAGAUUGACAGAUCUAACUUUUCAAAAAUCAAAAGACAUUUGAUUCAUUUAAUAAGACCUUAGAAUUCUCCCUUCUUUCUCAGCCAUACAUCUCUUUAUGUGAUGCCACAAUCUAGAGAAGAUCGGAAUGUUCCAGAACUCAAUAGCAAUGUACAUUUAGAGGAGAAAAGAUAAGUCUAAGGUCCAAAAGCACAUGGAGAUUGCAGAUCUUGCAUCAACCAUAUAUCUAUAUAAAUUUAUUUCACAAUGUAAUCUGCAAUCUCUGCUCAGUGAAUGUAUCUUGUAUUUUUAACCCAUACCACCUUGGAAAAGGACAAUUUCCUAAAGCAUUUUAUUAUUUCUCACAGUGCUAAAACCACUAAAAAUUAUACUGGGCAUCUAAAUGGCCUUGUUUCAUUCCAUGAAUAUAAUUUAUGGAAUCAUAAGUUAAUUCCUUAUGCUUCUUUGCCCAGAUGAUCAUAUUUUCCUUGUCUGAUAUCAUAUAGAAAGAUAUUUUGGGUUGUACACCUCUAGUUUUUGAAAGUUUUAAUAUUCCAAUCCUGAUAUCAGUAAUGACACAAAAUAGCAAUGCAGACAAAACUUCUACUUGUGCAGAGGAAUAUAGUAGGCUUUCUGGAUAACCACAGUUUACCUUCCUUUGCUAGCCCCCUCCUCAGCUUCAUUAACUUCUGAGAUGGGAUUACUGGUUUUGACAUAAUAUGAUGAUGGUUACCCAGUCGUUUAUAAGACAGCCCAGAGCUGGACUACUAAAAUAUGGGAUUUGGAAAACUAAUAUACCAUUGCAAUAAUGGUAUAAACCUAGGCUAGAUUUCAAUAUCACCAGGAUUUGGAAAGCUUUUCCUCAGAUCUUUUUAAUUAAUGUGCAUUUAAUCCAAGUAUUGGAACAAGAAAGCAUAUAUUUGUGUCUAUGUCUAUGCAUAUGUACAUAUAUAUGCAUAUGUAUAUGAUGCACACACACACACAUACAUAUACAUAUGUAUAUGAUGCACACACAUAUAUGCAUACACACAUACUAGAUACAUAUAUUGUAUGUAAAGAAAAACAUUUUUGACAAUCUUCAACAAUAUUGAGGAUGUUUAAAUUUCUUCUGAAUAUGCUUUCCUUGCUACAUUCCUGAUUACAAGGUUCUACUUUUUCCAAGAGGCAAGGGGAGAAUGACAAGUAGGAAUGACCAGGUAUACUGUCACAUGAUCCACCACAUAUAAAGCCUUGACAGUGUGUGCCAUCCAUGUAAGACUGGGGAUUUCUUUCAUGUGAUUUCGCUAGCUGAUUUUUUUUCAAGGAUUUCAUUAAUUCCCAGCUCACAUAGCUGAGCAAUCAACAGAGGGUACUCUUGCUGCAAAAGAAAGGCUUUUGAAUUUGCAGUUUGACUUCCACUUUAUCCAUGAACCUCCUAUUUGGAGCCAACCAUUCACAGAAUUUUUAAAAAAUGUUUUCCCCUCCAGCUGGUCAACAUUUUCUCUUUUUCUGUCUUUUUCUGUCAAAACCUUGUCCAAAUUAGUAGAUUUGCAAGGUUAGACUGCCCUAUUAGUGUCAUUGCAGCUGUUUGUUCUGAAGUAUGUGUGUGGGUUCUUUGGAAUUAAUCCACCAUGUUGUAGUAUUUUCUGCUACAAUUGCGUUCAUAAAACUGUUGAUUAAGCAAAUAAGUGAUUCCUACAGCAAGGUUAAAUAUUUAAAUUCAUUUGACAUUAUUCAGAAUAAUGAAGGAUGUCUUUGUAAGUUUGUCUAUCAAACCCAGCAGACUUAAGAAUGCCUGCAAUGUAGUAAUAAAAUUUAUUUUUAAUAUGUCACAGUAUUUUGAUCUAAAUUAUCUUGCCUAUGGUAUUGAAGAAAUGAUAUGAAAUGCAUAGAAAGUUGCCUUGAUUUGUAACUUGAAGCCUGAAGAUAGCAUUAUCAGCCUUGUUCUCUUAAUUAGCUGAGACUAAUGUGAGUGGAAGAGGUUUAAAUUACAUCACUUAUUAUCUAUCUAAUAAAAGUCUUCUGAAAGGUAGGCUAAUGGGCUUCACACAAUGAAUCAACCUCAUAAUGAUAAAACCAAAUUUGGGAUCUAAGAUAAUUGUAUUUGAUACACAGUCAACUUUUUAUCUCAAUGCUUUAUUUAAUAUGAAAUUGCUUUUGAUAUACAAAGGGAUAAAGGUUCUUUGUUUCUUUUGAAUAGGCUAAGAAUAUUCAAUCAGUAUUCUGUAACUGUAAAGGAAAGCCCAGCACAUAUUUCUGAAAACUCUUUUUUAUGUUAUCAAACUUUUCUAAACAAUUAGAUGAUUUCAUUUUAAAUAAAGCAUAACAUCAUCAUGCAUGCAACAAAUGGUGUGUUAGAGUUGGCUUUCACCUCUCCUGAGAGCCCAUUGUUAAACAAUCAAGAAUUUUGUGGCUGAUUGACAGCAGAAUUGAGCUACCACCAAGUCAGCUUUUUGGCAGUGAAUGGAGAAAAUGGCAAGAAGGUGACAAUCAGCAGAGAGAAAAUAGAACUGCUUAACUCCUUUUUUUUCAUCCAUCUUUACACAAAAGAAAAACAACUCAUCAAAAAAGUUCUGAAUUUUGCAAGUGAAAAUAAGCAAGGGAAUGGUAAGAGAAUACCUAUCCAGUCUAGAUGAAUUCAAAUCAUCAGGAUCAGGUGGAUUACACCCCAAGGUUCUGAAGGAACUGGAAGACGUGAUCUCAGAACAAGUGAACUAUGUCUUUCAAAGAUCCUAGACCACUGGGUAACUACAAAUGACUGGAAAAUGGCUGAUGUAAUUCCCAUCUUCAAAAAAGGAAAUAGAUCCAAGAAACUACAGACCUAUCAUCCUGACAUCAAUAUUUGGAAAGAUUCUGAAAAAGAUAAGUAAUGAAUCUGCAAACACCUACAGGCAAACAAAGUCAUAACCACAAGCCAAUAUAGGUUUGUCAAAAACAGAUCAUGCUAAAGAAAUCUUAUUGUAUUCAUUGAAAAUAUGACAAAAUUAAUGGACCAGAGAAAUACUGUGGAUAUAAUUUACUUGAACUUCAGUAAGGUAUUUGAUAAAACAGACCACAACCUAUUACUUAAGAUAGAAAAAUGUCAAUAAGACAGCAUCAUCACCAUGGAUUCAUAACUGGCUGACCAAUUGGACUCAACAAAUAGUCCUUAAUGGAACUGCGUUUACAUGGAGGGAAGUAUGCAGUAGGGUACCCAACGUUCUGUUUUAGGCCAGUUCUCUUCAAUAUCUUCAUCAAUGAUUUAAACAAGGGAACCCAUCAAAUUUGCAGAUGACACCAAACUGGCAGGAAUAGCCAACGCUCCAGAAGACAGACUCAAGAUACAGAAGGAUCGCGACAGACUGGAACAUUGGACCUUGCCUAACAAAAUGAAAUUCAGUGGUGACAAACAUAAGGUCCUACAUGAAAAACUAAAUGCACAAGUACAGAAUAGGUGAUACCUGACUCAAUAGUAGUAACUGCAAGAAGGUUCUUGGAGUCCUAACGGAUAAUCACUUAAAUAUGAGCUGCUGUGUGGUACACUGCCAAAAAAGCCAACUCAGUCCUAGGCUGUAUUAAUAGAAAAUCAACAUCAUGCAAAUAUGCGAACUGCUGGUAUCAUUUUAUAAUGCCUUGGUAAGACCACCCUUGGAAUAUUGCAUCCAGUUUUGGUUACCACAAUAUAAAAAAGAUGUUGGACUUCAGUAAGGUAUUUGAUAAAACAGACUAUAACCUAUUACUUGAUAAGAUAGAAAAAUGUAGGUUAGACAGCAUUAUCACCCGAUGAAUUCAUAACUGGCUGUCCAACCGGACUUAAUGUGUAGUCCUUAAUAGAACUGCAUCUACAUGGAGGGAAAUAUGCAGUAGGUAUUCCAAGGUACCCUACUAUAGAAAGAGUGCAGAGGAACGCAAGAAAGAUGAUUGUGGAACUCGAGGCUAAAACAUAUGAUGAAUGGUUGUAGGAAUUGGAUGUGUAGUUUAAUGAAAAGAAGGACCAAGGAUGACAUGACAGCAGUAUUCCAAUAACUAAGGGGCUGCCACAAAGAAGAGGGGGCUAACCUAUUCUUCAAAGCAUCUGAAGCAGGACAAGAAGCAAUGGAUGGAAACUAAUCAAGGAAAGAAACAACCUAGAAUUAAGAAAUUUCCUGACAGAGCAAUUAGUAGAACGACUUGUCUCCAGAAAUUGUGGUGUUCCAACACUGGAGGUUUUUAAGAAGAGAUUGGACAACCACUUGUCCAAAAUGUUAUAAGGUUUCCUGCUUCAGCAGAGAGUUGUACCAAAAGACUUCCAAGAUCCCUCCCAACUUUGUUAUUCUGUACUGGCAUUGUACUGGCAUUGUUGAUUGAUACAUAUUUAUAAGUACACAAUUGUUUUUAACACAGACGCAUACUUGGCAAAAUGAAGAUCAAUAAUGCAUGAUUAUAAGGCUGUUUCUAAGAUCUGGUCAAAAAAGACAAGAUAUCAGCUCCACCAUAACAAUACGAUCCCAGCUCUGCUUUUUGUAUGCAUGAUAUAUAUGCAACACAUAAAAAACAGGCAAAACUUUUAUUGUGCCAUCCUACUUCUGUCUUAAUUUUUUUUUCACUAUAAUCUGAGGAUUCCCUGGAUCAUUCUAUUCUUUAGGAAGUGGAUUUUAGGAAUCAGCCAAGGAUACAAAGAAAGCGGGAAGGAACUUUUAAUCCUUUGGGGAAAUCAUUCUUCCACCUAGUAUAGUUACAUUAUCAAAAGUGGAUUUCAACUUUAAAUUCAUCUUCAUACCUCAGAUUUCAGAAAAUAAACAGUAUUUUAACAUUUACUAACAUGUUCUGUGCUUAUAAUUAAAUAAAUGGAACAUACAACAAAUAGUGUAAAGUGAAUGUCAGGUUUACUUCUAUGGAGAUUAAAAUGCCGGUGCUUACGUAAAUGGAUUUCUAUUUUGAUAGUUAUUACAUCAGAGGUUCUUUCACCAUAAUGAUCAUUUGUUAGGAGCUGUGAAUGAUCCACUAUUACUCGCAAUUGCAUAGCACCUUCUUCUUUUGAAAGCUAACGAAGACAUAAGGAUUUCAGUGCUUGUCUUUAAAGGACAAAUAAGAACAAAAGAUACCAACUUCAGAUAUUUCUGCAACAGAAAGAAGAGCCAACAUGAUACACAUAUGAUUUCAACAAAUGACAAAAUUACUCAAGGGAUAGCUUCAUAAAAAUAUCUUUUAAUUGAGCCAAGUGGAAGGGUACAACCCUAGAAGCCUCUAUUCCUGACAAAUCUUAUUAUCUGAACAUCAGAAGCAAUAAUUCCUUGUAAAAUAAAAAUAUUCACUCAACUGUGUGAUGACUAGGCCUUAACUUAUCUGUAAUAAACUACUGAUUGGUGUUCUAAAUGAAUUGUUCAGUUGAUAGGCAAAAACAAAGCAGAAGCUAAAUCAGGUUAUAGUUUGCUACAACAAAUGGGAUUUCUAUAUUGGUCUUAGAACGAGGAUUGCAAUCCUAUUCAUUGCUCAUUUUAGAUUGAAAUCUGACAGAAUUUUAUCAGAUCAUACUGAAAUCAUACUUCCCACCAAGUAAUAGUUAAUUUUAUUUAUAUGAUUCUUAUGGAAGAAAAAGAAUUAUUCCAAUAUUUCAUAUAAAUAUUUAAUAUUUUAAUUUUGAAUUUAAAAGUUUCCUUUUGGUUAAAAUGAAACCAGCUCAAGAAACUAGGACUUUGAAAUUAGAUAAAUUUUCUAGGUAGGGGUAAAGGGAGGUGGUCUUUGUAAAUUUCCUAGGUCCUAAGAUGUAAGGUUCUAACUUGUAAAUUCUAACUUGUAAAAAUCAAGGGUAUAUUUGUGGUAAUGUUUCAUAAUGUCAUUAAAAGUUCUAUAUUGCAGAAGAUUGCUUUUUUCCUCUGCCUUUUUUGUUAAUUUGUAUUGUAAUCCUUAUAGCUGCCGUUUUCCCCAUUCCUGGGGUUUUGUGUAGAUCAGUGGAUGUAAGAAUUAAACCUGUCUUUUCUUUGAUGAAGCUUUUAAUAAAAAAGAAAUAAAGCAUGA